AUGUUCUGCCAGUGCAGGGGGUUCGAUCUGGGGGUGCUCUGCCACUCGGAAUCUGCACUCACAGCAGUUCAAUGUAUGUUCAGAAAAUUGACGUUAGCUGCAUCAGAAAUUCAGAAAGUACGAGCCGCAGCUUCCUUCGCACACGCGUCCACCGAGCAGCUGUCAUCCGUCGGGGCCCCUGUUUCUUCAUCGCCACCAUUGCCGCGCACACGGCCGCCUCACCGCAAUCGCCGUCAAUCGACGGCACUGGGAACCUGCUCACCAACAAUAACCUAUCAACCCACGGAGCCAAUCCAAGCAUACAGCCUAGGCCAGUGGGAAAUCAAGUCGAAAAUCUUACCUAUCGACCCGAUCUGA
rnacentral:rRNA from 1 species